rnacentral:lncRNA from 1 species
AAGACAACAAAGUAGACAAGGAACGGUGGAAUAUUCAACACACAUUGGUGUGGACCGUAUUUGAUGCUGAUCUCUAGCAGUCAACUUGGACUGUUAAAACUCUUCAAUCUUUUCCCCUUUUUGUCCUAGGUUUGUGUUGCAACGGAAUGGAAGAAACUGGAGAAAAAUAAAUAAAUCAGAGAAUAAACAAAAUUCAUUGAAUUGAUUCUUGUGUUAAAAAAUAAAAGACUCCAGCUAAAAGAAAUAAAUAAAAGAAAAGAAAAUAUGUUAUGUUAUUUUCCUUAAAAGCACUAAACUAAAAAGAAACAAAAUAUUUUGUAAUGAAUAUGUAUAUCCUAGACUUAAAAAGGAAUACAAAUGUUUUACAAUAUUUCUAGACUAAAAAGAAAGUAAAUAUUCUUCUAUUUAUGAUUUACACUAAUGGAAGAAUAUUUACUUUCUUUUUAGUCUAGGAAAAUAAAUUUUAACAUGUAUUUCCUCUGCCUCCUUAACUCCCCUUAGCUCUUCUUCUAAGUUUUCAUGUUCACUUGAAAAAAGAAAAAGAGAAACAAUGGCAGGAGGAGUAGCAGUAGCAGCAAAUGAAGGAGAACAGUACCAUGGAAAACUGACAAAUUUUGUGAUAUUAGCUUGUAUGAUGGCUGCGAUGGGAGGUCUAAUCUUUGGAUAUGACAUUGGAAUUUCAGGUUUGAUUUUUCUGCGUUUUCUUAAGUUAUACAUACAAUCAUGACACACCUAGUAAAGGUUUCAAUUGUCCAACGAAUUAUGUUUCUUAUUAAUUACCUUCAUUUUUCUUAAUGUACAAGUAUGAAUCAAUUGAUCUAUUUUUAUUUCACUUACACAAGUUAUGAAAAUGUGAAGGUGGAGUAACUUCUAUGGAGCCUUUUCUAAAAAAGUUCUUCCAUGAUGUGUACAUUAAGAUGAAAGAAGACAAAGAAGUUAGCAACUACUGCAAAUUUGACAGCCAUUUGUUGACAUCAUUCACAUCGUCCCUAUAUGUAGCUGGUCUUUUUUCUAGUUUUCUUGCCUCAUCAGUCACCAGAGCGUUUGGUCGCAAAGCCUCAAUCCUUCUUGGGGGAGCUAAUUUCCUGGCUGGUGCAGCACUUGGUGGAGCUGCUUCUAAUAUCUAUAUGCUUAUACUUGGCAGAGUUUUAUUAGGUGUUGGUGUUGGUUUUGCAAAUCAGGUAAAACUUUCGGUCUGUUCCAAAAAGAAUAGCACAUUUCCCUGUUUUUAAAUGAUUUAAACUCUGAUUUUACUCCACAUGCUCACAUAAUCAUAGAAAUGCAAUGACAUGUUUCUAAGAGUUCUUUUGAUAUGUGCCUAAAUUCUUUCAUUUUUAUACUCCGUAUCUGCAAUCAUUUAAAAAUGAAAUGAAAGCUGUUCUAAAGGUACACGUUCUAUAUUUUCACUAUUCUAAAGAAAAUGAGGAGUUCUCAAAAUGCAAAUCAGGUAAUAAAAGGGGAUGGUUUCUUUUAGUACAUUCAAAAAAGAAUUAUACUUUUUCAUAUCUAGAAAUACUUCCGAUUUAUUCUUAAUGUCGCGACAUGUUAAAGAUCACAAGUUUCAUAGAAACUUUCGAUAUGUGCUAAAGGUUUUCCGGUACCUAGUGGAACACAGUCAAUUAAAAGGAAAUGGAGGCAUUGCUUCUGUACUAGUAGCUGAACUUCCUCUGUUUGCACUCUAGGAUAUAAAACUGGAAGUUCUCAAAAUGAUAACUCUAGGACUUCCCCAGCUUUAACCAAUUUACCAUUCUUGUUCCUUUUUGAGACUAAACCAGCUCAAUCAACUAUCUUUUUUUUUUUUUUAUAGCUAAAACUAUGUUUUCACAACUUUGCAGGCUGUACCAUUGUAUCUGUCAGAAAUGGCACCAUCCAAGUACAGAGGAGGAUUCAACAAUAGCUUUCAACUAAGUAUAGGUAUUGGAGUUCUAAUAGCAAACCUUGUAAAUUAUGGCACUCAGAAGGUCAAAGGUGGCUGGGGAUGGAGAGUCUCACUAGCUAUGGCUGCAGUUCCAGCGUCCAUGUUAACGUUAGGCGCAUUGUUCCUCCCAGAUACCCCCAACAGC